UACAGAGGCCCCGAGCAUUAUCCGGAAUCACUGGGCGUAAAGGGUGUGUAGGCGGCUUAGUUAGUCUUUUGUGAAAGAUCCCCGGCCUAACCGGGGAGACGCAGGGGAAACGGCUAGGCUUUGAGGGUAUGAGAGGUUAAGGGAACUCAUGGUGUAGGGGUGAAAUCCGUUGAUAUCAUGGGGAACACCAAAUGCGAAGGCACUUAACUGGCAUACUCCUGACGCUGAAACACGAAAGCGUGGGCAUCGAAUGGG
rnacentral:misc_RNA from 1 species